AUCACCUUCACCAUGUUCUCUGUUGCUCUGCUGCUGCUGUUUACAGCUGGAUCCUGGGUCCAGUGUGAGCAGCUCACCCAGCCUCCCUCUGUGAACCUACAGCCGGGUCAGCAUCUGACCAUCACCUGUCAGGUCUCCUAUUCUGUUAGUAGCUACUACACAGCCUGGAUCAGACAGCCUGCUGCAGGAACACUGGAGUGGAUUGGUCGUAUAUAUACUUCAAGCUCCUACACCAAAGAGUCACUGAGAAGCAAAUUCCGCAUGAAUGUAGAUUCCUCCAACAACAGAGUGACUCUGACCGGAGAGAACAUGCAGCCUGGAGACUCGGCCGUCUAUUACUGUGCGAGAGGAGCACAACAACACAAAACACCGAGGGAGGGCUAUGCAAACCUUCUCUGA